ACAAAUGACUAAAUAGAUUUCAUAACCCACUGAUGGGUUCCCACCCAUGGUAUGAACAUUGCUGCCAUAAUUGGGGUAGAGCCAAUGAAGAGACAUCACAAAAAAUUAGCCUGGUUGUAUUUGUGUUUGUAAUAAAUCUCCUCUGGGCUAUGUGGAGUUUGACUUUGAGAAUGAUAAAUGGAAGGAUGCAGAUCAGACAGGUGGUUCUUUUAUUUCUCAAGGUGGUCUACAAUAAAGGCAUGGCACUAAAACAGAAAUAAUAGGGAUAAAGAAGAGGUAAUGAUCACAAGUUAGGAACCAGAAUCAGUAGAAUUUAAUACUGGAUUGGACAUAGACCUGAAAAGACUGGAAAAAGACUGGAAUAGCUCCCAAGUUUCUGCCUCAGGACUGGGUCUACCAUUAACUGAGGCACACACAUCUAGAUGGGCAAUACCUUGGUUCACCUUAAAUUUGAGGUUCUUGAGCCAUACCUACAUGGAGGGCCCAGAAGGCAUUUUCAUGCACAAGUCUGAAAAAAGAGAACUAUAGACUAAUAUUUUGGAACCAUCAGCAUAAGGGUAGCAUUUAAAGCUUUAAAAGUGUGUGUGCAAUCCCCCAGGGAGACUUCUACGUGUGCCUGGCACAUAGAAGAUUGUUUCAUUCUGUCUUUGUAUAUGUGAUUAUAUGUACACAGUAUUUUACACACAGAAUUAAUUGCUGUCAUAUUUCCCCCCCGCUCCCACACAUAACACUUGUUGACAACAAAAUUAGCAAGAUAACCUCUGACCUCACAAUGGAACUCAGAGUGGGCCAGUGUCAUCUGGCCCAUUAAACCAAUGCACAUCUCUCCUUUGGUACUUGGCUGUAGCCCCAGGAGACUAAGGGCACAUCUGUUGGCUUAUUGCUACAUUCACACAUCCAAUCCUGUGCUCGGCAUAGAAAACAGAGGUGAGAACUUCAACCCACGGAUAAAAGACCAGAAUCACACAGGCAACAAGUGGGGCCAUACACACUGCUUCAGCACAAAGGCAAGCCAAUCAGCAAAGAAAGACGUCAAGUCCUGUGGUUGGCAUUACAGAAGUGUUUCUGGAGGGUGGCCAUGUUGCUGA
rnacentral:lncRNA from 1 species